rnacentral:lncRNA from 1 species
AAAAUGAUAGGAUUUUAGCAUGCAGUUAAUGUAACUUUGUACUAAAUCAAGGACACAUAUUUUUUGAGACGAAGGGAGUAGAUGGCAACACCACAAGAUUGUCCACUCGAACUCUUCAAUACAACGGCAAAUUACCUUAUGAUUAACAGAAACUCACAACAGUAAUAGGUAAAGUCCUUGUCGAAUCGACCAAACACAAAGCUCAGUUUGUGGUCCAUCAACCACACACACACACACACACACACACGCUAGGUUGUAUGGUUGAUGCACACGACAGGCACAAACAACCCUUUUAUUACAAACCAACAGAGGCCAGCCAGCCAGCCAGCUUGAUCGUGAACACCACAUCUAGCUGGAGCUGGACAAACCAAGCAAGCAAGCAACCCAGUGCUGCUUGCUUGGUUGACACACCAAUCCAUAAGAUACCCACAUCAGGCAUAGCUUGGCUGAAGAAAGCGCGCCGCAGAUGGAGCUUGUAACAAACGCACCGCCAAUGUGAAACACACUUGAGAGGAUUUUUGUUCUUGUUGCAAAACACACUUUCAGAGAGUUGCGAAUGAGGUCACAACUUAAUUGUAACUCCAAUUUAAUAGACUGAUGGAUGGUCCAUGCAGGCCGACGUCCUUUGCGUCCAGAUUACCUAGGAAAUGAAGAACGGAAAUGGAAGACAUUAGUAACACAGUACAUCAAGAAUACUUGCUCCCCCUAUUUUUAUGAAUAGGAGAAAUUAAAUACAUGUCCGAAUGAACCGCACCUCAGAACGGAUACCCUCGGGAGGGUCACCUUGUAGUAAGCCGAGUGGCGUGUCUCGAAGAACGCCGGCUCAUGGUUGCCCUCAGAGCGGUCCCACUCGAGCCUGUCCC